GGUGACUCAGCAGUAAGGAAUCCACCUGCGAUGCAGGAGACACAGGAGAUGUGGGUUUGAUCUCUGGGUCAGAGAGAUCCCCUGGAGGAGGACAUGGCAACCAGCUCCAGUAUUCUUGUCAGGAAUAGUUCAUGGGGUCACAAGUUGGAGACAACAGAGCACGCAUGCAGGAAAGGAUUUGGUGUUGAGAAGGGUGCUGUGGGGUUAAGGUCUAAAGGGAAGGGAGUCAAGCAGUUAGUGGUGGAAGGAUGAGAAAAAUUCCACGCACCCACCAGGAGUUCUUCUUCUCCUUCUAUAUACUGGGAGGAGAUAUUCCGUUGCUUUGAGUGAUCCCCAUCUAUGCUGGCUGAGCCAUGCACACCAGCAGAUGUUCCCUCGAUAUUUGUGACAACAGUAAAAACACUGUGCUAGGGUGUCAGGGCAGGCUGGAGGCAGAGAGAAUAGACCAGGGCCAUUGUUUAAGUGGGUGAAGGGCAGGAGAUGCUAACUGAGAGGGUAAAGACCAGAAGGACCCUGCAUUCUAUGGCUUUGUAGGGGCUGGGAGCUCUGUUUAUUUUUUCAAAGGGACUCUAAACACAUAUUCUUGCCACUUCCUCUUGGUCCCAAUUUUGCCCUGGUAUCUGUAAGAAUAAAAUGUGUCCCUUUUAUAUAGAGCAUCUCUGCAGAUGCUUGAUGACAGCUUCUGUGUGUCUUCCUCCUUUCCUCCCCAGUACAUUCACUGAUCAUUCAUUCUGGUGUCCAUCCAAUACGUAUUUAGUAACUGAACGCUCUUUACAAGCCUUUUUCCAGAGACUCUGCUAGGUGCUGGGGGUAUUGGAAAUGAAGAAUGGACCUGUGUUUAAUGAGAGGACUGACAUGUGGACAGCUGAUGACACCACAACCUCACAAAUGAUCUGGAAGAGAGAGGCAUUCAGCUGAGGUCUGUUGGUGGAAGAGGACAAUAAGAAGACUUCUCUGAGGAAACACCAUGACUGCAGAAGAUGCAGACCCAACUGGCUCUCUGGCUCAGCUUCUGGGAUGUGACCCUGGGCUUUCGAAGACAGUGCCAGCAGCUGGGACAGAGAGCCAUUUGAGAUGGAAGUGGGAACAGGAAGCCCACUGUCUCAGAGGACAGGACCUGGGAUGGUGCUCCCCAAGUGAUGGAGGGCUGCAGGGAGUCAGAACAGUGGGGGAGUGAUGGGAGGAGCCAACACCCUUGUGUUCCAGCCUGGCAUCAGGUUGAUCAAGAUCAUAAACAUCCUAGAUGUGUUCAUGACCUUAGCAUCACCGAGGUGAAAGGACCUGGUGUGAAUCUGAUAACUUGGUGACAAUGUCUUAUUUGCUUUGUGUCUCCAGCAACUAGCAUGGAAGCCCAAUAAAUGUUUAUUGGAUGAAUGAAGGGAUGGAUGGAUAUAUGAAUGAAUGAACAGUGAAUGAGUAGAUGAAAAGAAAUGAGCCCUGAACAUCCAUAAAACCUCCAACUCACAACCUUAUAUCCUCCAGUAUAGUCCCUGUUUAUGCUACUAGGUUUUAGCUUAAGUUCUCCUGUCUCAUACUGUCUACCUGAUCCCUCCUCUGAGCUUAGUUGGAAUAAAUUCUUUCAGGGAUCCAUCAAAGGAUCACUUCCAAUACCAUUAAGCAUUGUCCAUGGUCCUCCCUUGAAUUUACUGGUUACCUGAACUCACCAUCCAUAUGAUUUCCAGCACUGCCCUGAACCCCAAGGGUGCAGCAGCACCAGCUAGCCUUGUCUGAGGACAGAACCCUGUCUGUUCUGUAUUAUGUCCGAUGGUCUGGCUGCACCUCAGGACCAGCAGCAGCAGAAUUAGAGUCCCCCAAC
rnacentral:lncRNA from 1 species